rnacentral:lncRNA from 1 species
AAUUGCAUUCCCAGGUUAUUUCUCAUCCUAAUAGUUCUCACCCACAUCAUGUGGGUCCCAUUAGUACAGGUAUCUCCGAAUGCUCCACUCUUCCAUUACAUUGAGUCAAUUGCUCAUGACCUUGGGCCUCCAAUUGGGGCUAUUUUCCUGCUAUCCAUCUCCUGGUCUAUAGUAAAAGAGCCAAUGAGCAGAGGUAUUGUACAGCACUGCCUAUGAGGCAUGGAGGAGUCUCACAUGAAGGCCGCCUGCAUCCUGGGGGAGUUCCUGAAGCUACUGCCCAUGUUUCUCACAGGGAGGCCAGGGAAGAUCAGCCCCAUUCUGUACACAGAGGUCAAAUCAUUGGGCUUGUGGCCAUGAGACCACAGACUUUGCCUAGCUUCCAGUGACUGUCCGAGAUGACCUGUGGAGUGCACCGCCUGUACUUGGACAUCACUGUCUUUUCCGAUCCAUACCCGUCAUCCUUGGAAUUUCCCCUGCAUCCAAACCUGUUCCUGAUAGAAUUGAUCUUUCUUUAUUUCAGAUAACCCUAAGGAAUAUCUUGGAUGUCUUCACGGGGCUUAUGACUUAUUCUGAGGUUUACAAAAUAGAGGCCCCCAGCUGAGCAAAGAGAGGGCUGCAGCGCCGAGGGAACAGCUGCCGGACUCACCGGAGAGGCCUCCUGGAGCACGCCGGGACCCCCUCCACCCCCUGGCUUUGGCUGCAUCCAUGGCUAGUUUGCC